rnacentral:rRNA from 1 species
UACGUAGGGUGCAAGCGUUGUCCGGAAUUAUUGGGCGUAAAGAGCUCGUAGGCGGUUUGUCGCGUCGUUCGUGAAAACUCCACGCUUAACGUGGAGCGUGCGGGCGAUACGGGCAGACUUGAGUUCGGUAGGGGAGACUGGAAUUCCUGGUGUAGCGGUGAAAUGCGCAGAUAUCAGGAGGAACACCGGUGGCGAAGGCGGGUCUCUGGGCCGAUACUGACGCUGAGGAGCGAAAGCGUGGGGAGCGAACAGG